rnacentral:rRNA from 1 species
UACGAAGGGGGCUAGCGUUGCUCGGAAUCACUGGGCGUAAAGCGCACGUAGGCGGCUUUUUAAGUCAGGGGUGAAAUCCUGGAGCUCAACUCCAGAACUGCCUUUGAUACUGAGAAGCUUGAGUCCGGGAGAGGGAUGCGGAAUUCCAGGUGUAGCGGUGAAAUGCGUAGAUAUCUGGAGGAACACCGGUGGCGAAGGCGGCAUCCUGGACCGGCAUUGACGCUGAGGCGCGAAAGCCAGGGGAGCAAACGGG